GAGGUCCUGCCCUCGAAGCCAUACUUUGCGAUGGACCGACGUAUAUGACUUAGGGAGCUCAAGAUAGCGCGUGGAAUGGAGAUUCGCGUCCGUUGAUGCGAAAGCCAGGAAGCGGGCUGCGAGCACCCACCUUUCGAGGUGGGUUCAUCCUUCUGGCCGGGGGCGGGACUUUU
rnacentral:other from 1 species